rnacentral:rRNA from 1 species
GCUUGGUUAUCACCGUAAAAUACAUCAACAUUACGCAUAGACAUUUUAGCGUCAUACCAAGGCGCUUGAGAGAACUACGUUGAAGGAACUCGGCAAAAUACCUCCGUAAGUUCGCGAGAAGGAGGCCCGGUUCCUAGGCAACUAGGGGCUGGGGGCACAAACCAGGGGGUGGCGACUGUUUACUAAAAACACAGGGCUCUGCGAAGUCGCAAGACGACGUAUAGGGUCUGACGCCUGCCCGGUGCCUGAAGGUUAAAAGGAGGGGUGAGAGCUCUGAAUUGAAGCCCAGGUAAACGGCGGCCGUAACUAUAACGGUCCUAAGGUAGCGAAAUUCCUUGUCGGGUAAGUUCCGACCUGCACGAAUGGCGUAACGACUUCCCCGCUGUCUCCAACAUAGACUCAGCGAAAUUGAAUUGCCUGUCAAGAUGCAGGCUUCCCGCGGUUAGACGGAAAGACCCCGUGCACCUUUACUACAGCUUCGCACUGGCAUCAGGCACAACAUGUGCAGGAUAGGUGGUGGGCUUUGAAGCAGAAACGCCAGUUUCUGUGGAGCCUCCCUUGAGAUACCACCCUUGUUCUGCUUGAUGUCUAACCGCGGUCCGUUAUCCGGAUCCGGGACCCUGCGUGGCGGGUAGUUUGACUGGGGCGGUCGCCUCCCAAAGAGUAACGGAGGCGCGCGAAGGUUGGCUCAGAGCGGUCGGAAAUCGCUCGUUGAGUGCAAUGGCAGAAGCCAGCCUGACUGCGAGACUGACAAGUCGAGCAGAGACGAAAGUCGGCCAUAGUGAUCCGGUGGUCCCGAGUGGAAGGGCCAUCGCUCAACGGAUAAAAGGUACGCCGGGGAUAACAGGCUGAUACUGCCCAAGAGCUCAUAUCGACGGCAGUGUUUGGCACCUCGAUGUCGGCUCAUCACAUCCUGGGGCUGGAGCAGGUCCCAAGGGUAUGGCUGUUCGCCAUUUAAAGUGGUACGUGAGCUGGGUUUAGAACGUCGUGAGACAGUUCGGUCCCUAUCUGCCGUGGGUGUAGGAUACUUGAGAGGAGUUGCCCCUAGUACGAGAGGACCGGGGUGAACGAUCCACUGGUGGACCUGUUGUUGCGCCAGCAGCAGUGCAGGGUAGCUAUGAUCGGACAGGAUAACCGCUGAAGGCAUCUAAGCGGGAAGCCCCCCUCAAAACAAGGUAUCCCUGAGAGCCGUGGAAGACCACCACGUCGAUAGGCCGGAGAUGUAAGCAUGGUAACAUGUUCAGUUGACCGGUACUAAUGGCCCGAUAGGCUUGAUUUG